rnacentral:rRNA from 1 species
UACGUAGGCAGCGAGCGUUGUUCGGAGUUACUGGGCGUAAAGCGCGCGUAGGCGGACCUGCAAGUCGGGGGUGAAAGCCCGAGGCUCAACCUCGGAACUGCCUUCGAUACUGCGGGUCUCGAGUCCGGGAGAGGUGAGUGGAAUUCCUAGUGUAGAGGUGAAUUGUAGAUAUUAGGAAGAACACCAGUGGCGAAGGCGGCUCACUGGCCCGGUACUGACGCUGAGGCGCGAAAGCGUGGGGAGCAAACAGG